rnacentral:rRNA from 1 species
GACGAACGCUGGCGGCGUGCCUAAUACAUGCAAGUCGAACGCAGUGGGUACGGGUGAGUAACACGUGGGUAACCUCCCAUCAGAGGGGAUAACACUUGGAAACAGGUGCUAAACCGAUACUGAUGGAUGCACCCGCGGGGCAUUAGCUAGUUGGUGAGGUAACGGAUCACCAAGGCCACGAUGCAUAGCCGACCUGAGAGGGGGAGGGGCAACCUGGGAACUGAGACACGGUCCAGACUCCUACGGGAGGCAGCAGUAGGGAAGCUGCGGCAAUGGACGAAAGUCUGACAGAGCAACGCCGCGUGAGUGAAGAAGGUGUUCGGAUCGUAAAACUCUGUUGUUAGAGAAGCGGUAUCUAACCAGAAAGCCACGGGUAACUACGUGCCAGCAGCCGCGGUAAUAC